rnacentral:rRNA from 1 species
ACAGAAGCGAAAGCAUUUGCCAAAAACGCUUUCAUUGAUCAAGAACGAAAGUUAGAGGUUCGAAGGCGAUCAGAUACCGCCCUAGUUCUAACCAUAAACGAUGCCAGCUAGCGAUCCGCCGACGUUCCUCCGAUGACUCGGCGGGCAGCUUCCGGGAAACCAAAGCUUUUGGGUUCCGGGGGAAGUAUGGUUGCAAAGCUGAAACUUAAAGGAAUUGACGGAAGGGCACCACCAGGAGUGGAGCCUGCGGCUUAAUUUGACUCAACACGGGAAACCUCACCAGGCCCGGACACCGGAAGGAUUGACAGAUUGAGAGCUCUUUCUUGAUUCGGUGGGUGGUGGUGCAUGGCCGUUCUUAGUUGGUGGAGCGAUUUGUCUGGUUAAUUCCGAUAACGAACGAGACUCUAGCCUGCUAACUAGGCGUAUUUCGACAUCCCAAAUACCCGCCGGCAUGGAGUUUCGGCUCCUGCUGCGCGCGGUUUUUACUGUCGGCGUACAAACAAUUCUUCUUAGAGGGACAGGCGGCUUCUAGCCGCACGAGAUUGAGUAAUAACAGGUCUGUGAUGCCCUUAGAUGUUCUGGGCCGCACGCGCGCUACACUGAAGGAAUCAGCGUGUCCUCCCUGGCCGAGCGGCCCGGGUAACCCGCUGAACCUCCUUCGUGCUAGGGAUUGGGGCUUGCAAUUGUUCCCCAUGAACGAGGAAUUCCCAGUAAGCGCGAGUCAUAAGCUCGCGUUGAUUACGUCCCUGCCCUUUGUACACACCGCCCGUCGCUACUACCGAUUGAAUGAUUUAGUGAGGUUUCGGACUGGGCGCGGUGGCGUUUCGGCGUCGUCGAUGU